ensembl:miRNA microRNA 27a
UGGCUGGAGGAGCAGGGCUUAGCCACUUGUGAGCAGGGUUUCUACCGUGAUGUUCACAGUGGCUAAGUUCCGCCCCCCUGGGCC